AACAUGUCAAGACUUUCUAUAUCAAUUUUUUUUUUACAAUAUAGGUCAAGCCAUUCAGGGAAUUCAAAGGGUACCCGAAUAAUUGCGAAACCAAAUCGAAAUGAUUUCAAUUGAAAUAAUCAAAAGAAACCUAACCAAAAUCAAAGCCUAACAAAACCAAAUGAAACCUAACCAAAAAAAGUUAUUGUGAACUAUUUACCAAGUAUUUAGGGGGGGGGGAGGAAAUACGUCAAUUGAAAUUUUCACUUCAUCAAAUGCAGAGGGGCCAGUUAUCUUUUUUUAGCGAUGCAUUUAGUUUGGUUUAGAUUUUGUAUAUUUUGUUUCAAUUCAUUUCAGUUUUUAAAGCAAAAGUAGCAUUAAAAACAUCAGAAUCGGUAUUUUUGAAGCAGGGGCGGGUCACUCUGAUUUACUUAUAAAUGAUUUGCAAUAGUGAUCUAUUGUUUAAUCUCUGAUAUAUUUAGUGUAAAAUUCUGUCAAGUCUUUUAUUUUCUUCCACUUAGAAUAACCUUGCAAGAAACUCAUAGGGCUAUCAAAUUGUACAGGAAUGUUAUAAUUCCGGAAUAUCAGUAUUCCAGUAGUAAUUUGAAACUCCAAUUAAAGUGAUCUUUUUUUUUUUUAACUUUAUACACAAGUAACUUAUUAACAAUAAGAACGAAAUACAGUAUUGAAAGGUGUAUAUCUAUUUACAAUUCCAAUCAAUUAUUUUUUGAAAAACAAUGGAAUUUGUGGAACAAUAUAUUUGAACCCACUGAAUAAUAAAAUUUUAACUGGAUGUUUUGUAUAAAUUUAUAUUUUUUUGAUACUAUUAUAUAGCAACCUCAAUAAUUAUUAUUUUGGUUUAAUUUCAGCUAUUUUUGAAAUGUAUGAAUGGAGCAUGAAUGGUUGGUAUGAGUGAUUAUAUAUCCAUUGUACAUCUUACCUUUAAAAGUAUAUAUUAUGAUGCACUUAAUUUCUAUUUGUACAAUGGACAAUGCUAAUAAAAAAAUUUUUUUUUUUAAAAAAACCAAAAAACCAAUAAGAACUUUAUUUUCAUGAUGAGAAGAUCUUGCACAUAAUUACAAGUAUAUGAAGUUCUCGAUACACAGUACUUAAGCACAAUGUUUUAACAUCAAAAUUCCCCCCCUUUCAUUAUAGCUCUUGUUUUGGAUCCUUGCAGAUGUUCUCAUGUUAACACACACACCCCACCCCCUCAAAUUCUAACUACGUACUGAUGAUGUGGUUGGUGCCCAAGGUCGACUUCCUUGUCCCCCUGGCCUGAAAGAGAAACAAAAAACCAGUUAAUUGUCUUUGCACUGAUUUAUGAAAUACGUUUUAACUGUGAUGACACAAGAUAGAGUUAUCUACCUUACUGUGCUAACACUCUUAGUCUCCAACUUACGUGGAGAUGAAAUAUAUUUCACUGUCUGAGACAGAGUUAUCUGCCUUACUGUGUUAACGCUCUCUAACUUACAUAAAGAUGAAAUACAUUUCACUGUCCCAAGACAUUUCACUGUCUGUUUUAACGUUCUAACUUAUAUAUAGGGAUGAAAUACAUUUCACAGUCUGAGACAAAGUUAUCUGCCUUAUUGUGUUAACGCUCUAACUUACAUAGACAUAGGAGGCAUUGGUCCUCCUGGACCCAUGUUGUUUGGUGGUGGACCUCGCAUACCGCCAUAACUUAAUGAAUCAUACUGGGGGGAAAAAAAGAAGGAAUUUAGACAUUCAAAUGCAGGGCAACUGUAACAUCAUACUCAUUAACAUAAUUAAAAUAAUUAUACAAAUUAUAAAUUAUUCCAAAGUUAUGUAAAUGUCUGGAUGUAUUUUUUUUAAUGACAUGUAUUUUAUGUAACAGGUGACUCUCUAAAAAAAUCUUCAUCAAUUAAAAAAUACGAUUUAUCAAAAUCUACCCACUGGAUUCAUUGGCCCUGGCAUUCUCCCAUGUGGCAUCCUAGGACCCAUCGGACCCAUGCCAGGGUGACCUGAAACAGACAGAAAAAUCACCAUUGACAUGUGUAAUGAAUUGCAUUAAUAUAAAAAACAUGCAAUAUCAACAUCACACCAUUUCUCAAAGCCAAUUUCCUUUUUCAAUACCAAUUAUUUCAAGCAAAUGAAAAAUAAGUACAUUCAUUUAUAAAUUUGACACAACACCAAAUCUUUGUAAUUUGAAUGACAACACUAUCAGAUGUGAAAACAGUUGGUAAUUAGUACUAAAAAGGGUAAAGAGGUGCUGUGUAACCCAGGAGAAAUCCAGCUAACCAAACCUGAACACUGAUGGGUCUUCUGUUAAUGGCACAAAAACAUGUGAAAUAAAGGGUAAUUUUAAUUGCUCUCUGGAGAUGAUCGACACUUCAACUAAGGUUUGGUCAGCCCUCAUUCUCCCUUUAUUUCAAGUAUCAUGAAAAGAGGUUAAAAAAUAUUACAAAAACAACCAAGUAACUUUAGAACAUACAUAAUAGGUCAUUCAGUUUUCAGGUUCAUAAAUUAUACCGUCUAACAUGUUCAGCAGGCUUCCUCUGAUGACUAGAAUUUUAAAUGAGCCUGAUUUUCGUUUUUUAUGGUUAUGGAGUGUUUGGUAAAUGGGAUUUAUGAUAAGCAAUACAAGCACUAAACCGUGUUUUUCCAGAGAUUGUGUAUGAUACACUAGAAUCAUUUUUUGUCACUGCAAGACCAGAAGAAUCUUCCUAGCAUUUCAGAAAGACAAAAACCGCCUGUACGAGAAACAAACAUGAGGAGUUAGUGAGAUUUACAUAGGGAUAAUGUAAUCCGCAUCGCCAAAAAAAGUCGGUAAUUCUGGAAACUUAGUAAUUUUCUGAAGUGUGUGAUUUAUCAAGCAGCCAUCAGAAGGCAUGGUGGGAGAUUGGGGGGCAGGUGUCCAUCAGGGCUGGAAUUCUGGAACCAUCAUGUCAUCAGCACACAUAGGUGUUCAGGCAUUCAACACAGUGAUAUUGGGUUUUUUCCCCAUUUGUUUUUAAUAGAAUGAUCUUUUAUUUCCUCCUCUCUGGAAAUCGUGAUCAAUUUUGGAUAUAGUGUACAUUACCAGACUUUCGGUGGAAUUCAAUUUGGGUUUUAAUAAAUCAGGGUGGAAAUUGUAUCCUAGUCACCUGUUUUUUCUAAUGGAAAACGUUUUUAGUGAGAUCAUGGACAUACAAAAAAAUCAAACCAAUUUAGGAAGUUUUGGGUUAUCUCCCCUGGCAGCCAUCCUUUGCUCUAAACUACUGGAUGGUAGAGCAGGUGAGGAAAUGCAAUUUAUUUGUCAGGGAUUACGCAGGACUUCAAAAUCUCCAAUUUGAUGGCUAAUGGAUAUAACCUGUGAUGGUUUAGAAGGUCCUAAUUGCUUCUAAUGGGCUUGUGGUGUUGUUAGAGUUCUCAGCUUGUGAGGUUCACACUAAACCAGAGACAUGAACACACUACUGGAGAAAUCUAUUCAAAUUUGGAUUAUAAAUGAACAUCAGGCGAGGGAAGCUUCAGACAGGUUUUUCAGGAUUGCUCUGAAUUCAUAAUGUGAAAGUCAUCUCUUACAUGAAAGACAGUGUGACAAAUUAAAAUCUUGCAGCAUGUGACUCUGAUGAGGAGAGUUUGCCUACUGUAUGUCCAGGAACACACUAAUGGCAAAUCCCAUUUCCUAAAUCUGAACAGGGAGGACGUCUAGAGGCCGACAGAAAAUGUCCUUUCAGAGGCCAUGGCUGUUUCUGUGGUGACCAGGUUCAUCAGGAAAAUGGAUAAUACACAGAUAAACAAGGAGUUAUAUAAUCCUGCCUUGAUUAAGGCUUGCCAAAGAGAAGCCCCAGCACGCCAAAGGAUUAAUUAUGUUCUGCUUAACUGACAGGGCUGACAUGAAUAUUUCAGCAAUUAUCCGCAAAACUGAUCACAGAAGACAAAAAGCCAUUGAAGAGACAACCAGCCAACAGGACCUAUUCCAAGAUGACAAAACAUCCCAUUUUUGUAUUUUGGGGAGGACUUGAAUUGAGGCCUACAGCCAGUGAUACCGUGGCUAAGCUAUUUGAGAGGCUCAUUAAGUUUAUUGGCGUGAAGGAGGCUUGAUUUCAAUUCAUCAAGAUACCAGUGCAGUCCUUCAGCAAAUUUACCAUGAAAUUUAAUGAAAAAUGCAUUCCUUUGAGAGAGCAAUGUGAUAUUCCCCUUUCUGGAUUAUGCGAGGAAGAAAUCAUUAGUAAUCAUGCACCUUUUUAGAGGUAAAACCCUUUGAGAUGUUAUCUGUCCAAGAAGAAAGAAUAGAACACCAUUUCUUUAAUCUACAGUUUCAGGAAUAUGUGCUGUGUGUUUUGAAAUUUUGCAAUUGGGAGAUUAUGCAAUGCAAAUGAAGCAUUAAAUUUGGUGAGGAUUUAUUACUUCCAGAGAGUACAAAAAUACACGAUUGAUUCAAUGGCAAUUCAUUCUUGGAACUAAGCGAGGUAACUACAAACAAUCAUGUCACUCACAAAUCAAAGACAAUUUGAGGAAUAUUUCCAUAAUACAGGGAAAAACCCUGGUGGCAUUGGUCCCCCAGGCAUACCGUCCUGAGGAUUCAUUUGACCUAAUGGACUAGGUGCUGCUGCAUUCUGCAAAGAAACAAAGAAAGGACAAUCAGUAAAUGUGAAAAUAUGUGAAGUCAUUGGACAUCUUAUCCUACCAAGUGUUCUUUGACAAGAAUUGAGGGAAGCAUUUCUAUGUUUGGAUACAAAUAAAUUAUAUCUUUCAAAGCAACAUAGAAAUAUUAAAAACUCAUGAAUGCCCAUCA